rnacentral:rRNA from 1 species
UACGGGGGGGGGCAAGCGUUGUUCGGAAUUACUGGGCGUAAAGGGCUCGUAGGCGGCCAACUAAGUCAGACGUGAAAUCCCUCGGCUUAACCGGGGAACUGCGUCUGAUACUGGUUGGCUUGAAUCCGGGAGAGGGAUGUGGAAUUCCAGGUGUAGCGGUGAAAUGCGUAGAUAUCUGGAGGAACACCGGUGGCGAAGGCGGCAUCCUGGACCGGUAUUGACGCUGAGGCGCGAAAGCGUGGGGAGCGAACAGG